AGAGUUUGAUCCUGGCUCAGAUUGAACGCUGGCGGCAUGCCUUACACAUGCAAGUCGAACGGCAGCGCGGGGCAACCUGGCGGCGAGUGGCGAACGGGUGAGUAAUAUAUCGGAACGUACCCUGGAGUGGGGGAUAACGUAGCGAGAGUUACGCUAAUACCGCAUACGAUCUAAGGAUGAAAGUGGGGGAUCGCAAGACCUCAUGCUCCUGGAGCGGCCGAUAUCUGAUUAGCUAGUUGGUAGGGUAAAAGCCUACCAAGGCAUCGAUCAGUAGCUGGUCUGAGAGGACGACCAGCCACACUGGAACUGAGACACGGUCCAGACUCCUACGGGGGGCAGCAGUGGGGAAUUUUGGACAAUGGGCGCAAGCCUGAUCCAGCAAUGCCACGUGAGUGAAGAAGGCCUUCGGGUUGUAAAGCUCUUUUGUCAGGGAAGAAACGGUGGCCUCUAAUAUAGGUUGCUAAUGACGGUACCUGAAGAAUAAGCACCGGCUAACUACGUGCCAGCAGCCGCGGUAAUACGUAGGGUGCAAGCGUUAAUCGGAAUUACUGGGCGUAAAGCGUGCGCAGGCGGUUUUGUAAGACUGUCGUGAAAUCCCCGGGCUCAACCUGGGAAUGGCGAUGGUGACUGCAAGGCUAGAGUUUGGCAGA
rnacentral:rRNA from 1 species